rnacentral:rRNA from 1 species
UACGUAGGGGGCAAGCGUUGUUCGGAAUUACUGGGCGUAAAGCGCGCGUAGGCGGUUUGGAAAGUCAGAUGUGAAAGCCCCCGGGCUCAACUUGGGAACUGCAUUUGAUACUGCCAGACUAGAGUACAGAAGAGGUGACUGGAAUUCCCAGUGUAGCGGUGAAAUGACGUAGAUAGUUGGGAGGAACACCAGAUGCGAAGGCGGGUCACUGGGCGUGAUGAACUGACGCUGGAUGACGGCGAAAGCCCAGGGGAGCGAACGGG